CUGCCUGGCCCGCUGGCCCCACUCGCCCCUGCGCGGCUCCCUGGGUGGGAGACUCUGCGAGCGCCCAGAAACCCUAAUCUCCGACACAACGCCCCAUCGAGUCUACCACAUGCUGGUGCUUGGCGGUGGGUAGCAGAUCCAGGCCACCCUGGAGGCCAGGGUGGCACAGGUGUGACCACCAGGAGGCAGGCUCACCGAGCCGGUUCAGAAGGUGCCGCCUACACAUACUUGACUUGCUUGACAGUCGCAAGAGGGUUGUCAUGAUCUCUACUGUCUCCACUUUACAGCCACUGGAUUGCCACAUGUUCACGUGCUGACAGAGUUCUGUGAUGUUGAAGAAGGUGAGACAUUUCAGCCUCAGUACAUCUCUUUCCCUUGCUUCCCACCUCGCCUGCCGGUGGGAGGUUUCGCCUGGCCCUGGGCGUUUGGAGAAAGUGGAUUUGGAGGGCCUCCCCCGUGGCGCAGCGGGUUGAGCACAGCGCUGUGAAGCUGUCCGCAGCCCCUGCAGCACAGGUUCAAUCCUGGCCAAUUCCCGGCCGGUGGGGGAAAACCCACAUGGCGCAGCAGACCUCUCCUGUCGCGCCUGCUGCUCCCCUCAGCAGUGUUUUUGGUCGUUCUGCCUGUUCUGCUCCCCGCUCUGUCUCUGGUGAAUUCCCUCACCCUCCUGCACCUCUGGUCUGUA